CACAAGAGAAGGACUGCAGAUCAAUGUUGAAAUAAAAACCACAGAUCUGACCCACGUGGGAAAAUUAUCCAUAAUAUUACUUAAGCACACACUAGUUUAAAGGUAGGAACCCGUUGCUUUGUACAUUUAAUAUUAAUACAAUUUAAAAUAUAGGACACAGAAUUAAAGACAAAAUGUAGGCCAAGAGAGGACAGGGUGAUCUUUCCGUCUUCUUAGAUCCUUCCUUUAUCUUCGAUCCUUUUUGUUCUUCUCCUAAAUAUUAACCCUGUAAAAUAUCUAAUUUUGUUUGCACAAGGCACAAUCAGCAAUUUUUGCUUCUUAUGAAGACUCUCUUUUCAAAAGGUUUGCAGAUAAAUACAGAAGUUUAUUUUUGGCAAUUAUGUUCAGUAUUUUUAUUAAAAGUACCCACAGUUUUCUUGCUAUGGUCAUGAAAAAUAUAAUCCUAGGAAAGGAAUAAUCUGAGCUAAAUGUGUCAGUCAUAACUGAUAAUUCAACAUUAUUUCAUACAAAGUGUUCACUCAAGCAAAAUGUUACUGAAAGUUUCAGUGCACAAAACAGAAAAAUAUUUGCUUUGUCACAUUGAGAUGAUAACUUGCUUGUUUAAAGCCUUGAAAAGAAGAAAGAGAGCUCAAAGUCUGGAUUUAUUUUUAAAAUAUAUGAAAAUAAAGCAAAAUAUGACAUAUCUGUAUAACCAGAAAUCAAAUAUUUAACAACAUAAGCUUUGUCUUGUCAUUAUGUUCACUUUCACAUAAAGCUCCUUCCAGAAACAUCUCUGCAGUGUAUGUAAAAGGUAAUAACUACUUUUCACAACACAAAUGGGAAUCAUAUGCUCUCCAGGCGCAACUGUUGUCAAAGCUGAGCAAAGGAAUAUAAAUAAAGCGUGGAAAACCACAGAGACUCCUUUAAAGUCUAAAGGACCCCGUCCUCUCAUUAAGAUCGUUUUACUCAUGUUUAUGUUCACUAAAACAUCAAAGAUUUACUAACUUGGCAAAGUUUAACUCAGUAGAGAUGUUUUCACUUUUCUUCACCAAAAGGAGAGAAGGCUGUUUAUGCAUCACUAAAUCUGAAAAUCAAGGCUGCAGUUGGUAUAUUACUUAACCAAGCACCAGUAAUUGUGAGAUUAUUUUUAUUUUAGCAAACAAAAAUGGAUACCUUCAGCCUUUAGAGGACAACAGAGACUUAAAAUAUGUAAAUCUGCAAAAAGUCCAUCUCCUUAUACAUGCAUUGCUAACAUUUAAAACACUUUGUUUUCAGUGCAGUUACUUGAAUACAAGGGACAGUUUUAGUAUAAACACAGACAAAUAAAACAGAGUAAAACCCAGAAUAACAACAACAAAAAAACAAGUGCUAAUCAAGAAAAUCCUGUUGUAGCAAUUAAAUACAAUAUAUGGAGAACUAGAACCAGAAAUGUAUUUUAGAAAUGGCUUAAUAUGCCCGCAAAAUAAUAAAAACAACUAGUUUAAAUCAUUAUGGAUUUAUAAAAUGUGGUCAAAAUUGAUAUUUCUAUUUUAAUUUCUAUUUGUAAGAAUUUAUCAAGACUAUUUUUUAGCAUUUGACCUGUAAUUGACAUUGACAAUUGACAUUCAUUUUAAAAUUAUUUGACAUCAAAACGUAAAUGAGAAAAAAAAAGAAAGUUAGACUCAGAAAUGAAAGUGCAUGUGGUAACGAAUUUUGUAAAAAAUAAAUAUAAAUAAAGCAAGCGAAGAAAAUGAUACCAAGAUAAAUUCCUGAAUGAACAUAUAAAAUAAAAAGAAAAAUGGAUUUAUAAAUUACUGACUGAAGAGUAAAUUUUUUUUUUAUUAUGUUAACAAUGCUGAAGUCUACCAGAAAUUAAAAUAUAAAACAAUUAAGCCACAUUUUAUAGAUGAUAUAACUGUUUUUGUGUUAUAUUUUACCAAUUGUUAUUAUCAGUUUGUUGUCAAGUGUUGACAUUUAUAGUCACUUUUUCUUAAUUUGUGAACGGUAUUUCAAUGUUUUAUCGAAAUACCCUAUUUAUAUUUUAAUAUUGUUUUUUAUUAUUGUCAUGAGUAUAAAAUGUUUAUACUUCUUUGUGGGAUGAAAUAUUCACCAAAACUUUCUUUUUUGAACUGUUCUGUCAAUAAUUGAACAGCCAUUUCUGACUAAACUAAUAAAAAUUUAACUUUAACUUGUUACAUUGAGUUCAAAAUAAAAGGAUCUUAUUUUACAAACACAGUUAAUAGCACUUCAAUUAAAAUGGAUUUCUGUCAAGCAAAUUUUAUACAAGCUUUUUUUUUUUUUAAAGUAUUUGUCUUUUUUUUUAAAGAAAUUAACAUCUAAUGCCUCGGGAUGUAGAAAUUACCAACCAUAAAAUUACUGUUUUUACUAGUGUAGACAGAAAUAAAAUAGAUAAUAUUAGAAUUACUUAUUAAAAACACACAUCCUAAGCAACCAUGAAUAAACAACAGACAAUAUAAUUGUGAAAUAUGAAAAGGGAACAGCUUAAAGAUAAUUCAAAACAAGGUGCUAAACACUAACAAGCAGUGGCAGUUCUUGCAUGAAUGGCGACUGUGCUUAUCCCUCCUCCUGCCUCUCCCAAGCCAAUCAAAAUGCAAGAAGGUUCCUCAUUUUUCUGAGUUUCUCCAUUUGAUUUGCUCAAAACCAUCAGAAAAUCUGGAGCCUGUCCAUCCCAAUUUCUAUUGCUGCCCUGGGCAACUGCCCACAUGGCCAACCUCAAAAACCCCCACUGCUCACAACAAAUUGUGAAUAAACAUGGGUUGUGCUUCUAAACCUUAACACAAUGUGUGCUUAUUUAUCUGCAGAGGUAAUAUCAGAGAACAUUCCUGUCAAAAACAUUAUUCCAGUUGCAUUGGUCAGUGCUAUCACAUUCAAAUUAAUUUAUGUUACAUUCAUAAAUUAGGCUACAGGCACACUGCAGCCUGAAGUGACCCAAAUCCUUUCUUUGUUUUUUUGGGUUUUUUUUUUACCUUAAUACGACCUAUAUUUGAUCUCCUCAUGACUGUCUGAAUGACAGAGAUUCGCAUCCGAUCUUUUCAAAUGUGACUUGAAUCUGAACAGUAAAGUCGCAUUCAUCCGACCUGAACGUCAUUGAUACUCGACAAAUGUCACUAUUCUGUGUCCUGAUACGCGCAAGCGGGAAG